GCCCAUCAAGGAUAGCUCAGUCGGCAGAAUAUGAGACUCUUAAUCUCAGGGUUGCAGGUUUGAGCCCCACAUUGGCGCA